rnacentral:rRNA from 1 species
UACGGAGGAUGCAAGCGUUAUCCGGAUUCAUUGGGUUUAAAGGGUGCGUAGGCGGGCUAUUAAGUCAGUGGUGAAAUCCUGCAGCUUAACUGUAGCAUUGCCUUUGAAACUGCCGUUCUUGAGUACAGUUGAGGUAGGCGGAAUGUGGUGUGUAGCGGUGAAAUGCAUAGAUAUACCACAGAACGCCGAUUGCGAAGGCAGCUUACUAAACUGUCACUGACGCUGAUGCAUGAAAGCGUGGGUAUCAAA